rnacentral:rRNA from 1 species
UACGGAGGGGGCUAGCGUUGUUCGGAAUUACUGGGCGUAAAGCGCGCGUAGGCGGACCUGCAAGUCGGGGGUGAAAUCUCUGGGCUUAACCCAGAAAGGUCAACCGAUACUGCGGGGCUAGAGUGCAGAAGGGGCAACUGGAAUUCUCGGUGUAGCGGUGAAAUGCGUAGAUAUCGAGAGGAACACCUGCGGCGAAGGCGGGUUGCUGGGCUGACACUGACGCUGAAGCGCGAAAGCUAGGGGAGCGAACGGG